AUCAUCCAAAAGUCCUGAAGCUGAUGACAAGUUAAACAAACUCUCAAACAGAGGAAAUAAGUUAGAACACAAGCCUGCACUUGCCAUUUUCUCAUACAACUUUACCAGGCAUUGUCCCAAGGCUGCUGAUUCAAAAGUCUCUAAAUUAAACUUAUCAGCAAACUUAAGCAAGUUUAAUGGCAGUGAGCCACAGGAAGCUGUCUCCUUCUUGCUUAUUUGAAAAGAAACCCAAACUGCCACGACACACUUCCUCUUCUCACUUCUCUACAAGCUUCCUGCCAGAUUUUCUUAACUUCUUUGUGUAACAUUUGACUAUGUGGUGCCUGCACACUUGUGAAUUCAGAGCACUGCUCCUGUGCCAGUGGUGCUGUGGACUGUCUCUUAGAAUCUAGCCAGCGGUGUGUCUAAACACUAUUGAUAGACACUGCACUGUCUGAAGAGCAAUGCUGCAUGGACGUGAAAGAAGUCAAAUGUGAAGUCUCUGCUUCAGGGAUCCAUUUUUGUGGCAUUCUGGAAAAGGAGGUUGUUGCAGAAGCCUUUACAAUUAAGAGUCUGGAGUCAUCGAUACUACCCCAGCAGAUGCUUCCUUCCCUGUAACAGCCAGUAAUAGCAUAUACCACAGACAUCAAUAUGGUCUCAGCACAACAUGGUUUCCAGUGACAGCAUAGACCACAGACUUCCACGUGGCCUCUGGCUGCACCAUGGAAGAUAACCUUCAACAUGAUCCCUGGUGUCAGCAUGGACAAUAGGCCUCACCAUGUCCUUGAAGCAGUACAGACCAUGGAAAUCAACAUAGAUUCUUGUGGCAGGGUAGACCACACACAUUGGCAUUGUCUGAGGGGGCAGUAGAGACCACAGACAUCAACAUAGCCUCAGACUGCAACACAGGCCACACAUAUCAACAUGGCCUCCAGCAGCAACAAGGACCACAGACACCUACAGUAGCAGGAUGGACCACAGACAUCAACAUGGCCUUCAGCAGCAGUAUGGACAACAAACAUCAACAUGGCCUCAAGAAGCAGCCCAGGCCAUGGACAUCCACUUGUCUUCAGGAGAUAGAAUGAACCAAGAACCUCAACAUGGUCGAAGGCUGCAGUAUGGAUCAGGGACAUCAACAAGGCCUCAGGUGGAGCUCAGAUCAGGGGCACCAACAUGGGCUCCGAUGGCAACAUGGACCAUAGACAUCAACAAAGGCCUCUAGCAGCACAAACUACUGGCAUCAGCAUGAUCCCCAGUGGCAUCUUGGACAAGGGAUGCCAACAUGGCUUGAGGUGGCAGUACAAGGCAUGGACCAAACCAUGAUGCAUGAACAUCAACAUGGCCUCCAGUGGUAGCACAAACCACAGAAGCUAACAGGGCCCCUGGUGGUAACAGGAACCUUGCAUAUCAACAUGGCCCCCAGCAGCAAUCAGACUGUGGACACUAACGUGGCCUCAAGGGGCAGCACAUAAACAUCAACAUAACCCCAGGCAAGAGCUCGGGCCAGGGACAUCCAUAUAGUCUCCAGUAACAACAUGGUCCACCAAUAUCAACACAGCCUGCAGCAGCAGACAGAACCAAGGACACUGAAAGACCCCCCACCACCAAAGGCCCAGACACAGUUCCCCCAGAAACCCAAAAGAGCUAAGAGAAGAGAUAUCUUAAAAUAAACAGAAUUGAGUCAGUUCCCCCUUCCUGGAGAGGGUGAAGUCAGGUGUUUUCAAAAGAACAAAGUCAGGAUGUCUGGUGGUGACUGAUUAACCAUGAGAUUCACUCUCCAGGGAUAACAUGACCAGACCCGGGGAUGGGUUGCAAAACUCCUGACAGGGCAAACAGAUAAGCUGAAAUAAGACAAAGUCCAGGCCCGGGAAAAACUGGACCAAUCAAGGAUGGACCUGUACUAACCCCCUCCCCUCUAAAAAUUUUGUGGUUGUUGCCUAUAAAAACUAACUUCCCCAAGAAAGAGUAACUCUUCCCUGCCUAGCUGCAUUGGGUGUGGUGGACGAGAGUUCCCUGCUAGCUUGAACUACGUACAUGCGCUGAAUCAAAUAAACCUUGCUAUUGCAUUCUGGA